UCAAUCAAUAUGUCUGAGUAAUCUGCUUGUUAGGAGUAGGGUUUCUCAUUAGGGAUUCAUAUGGUUUAGUAGAUUGCCCCCUUGCUAAGUUAUCUGUAGAAUUCUUCAUCUUUAAUUAUGCUUA
rnacentral:sRNA from 1 species